UAGGGAAUCUUCGGCAAUGGACGAAAGUCUGACCGAGCAACGCCGCGUGAGUGGAGAAGGUUUUCGAAUCGUAAAACUCUGUUGGUAGAGAAGAACGUUGGUGAGAGUGGAAAGCUCAUCAAGUGACGGUAACUACCCAGAAAGGGACGGCUAACUACGUGCCAC
rnacentral:rRNA from 1 species